rnacentral:tRNA from 1 species
GCGGGAUUGAUGUAGUGGCAGCAUACGUGCUUCCCAAGCACGGCGCGGGGGUUCGAAUCCCCUAUCCCGCUCCC